AUUGAACGCUGGCGGCAUGCCUUACACAUGCAAGUCGAACGGUAACGGGCCUUCGGGUGCCGACGAGUGGCGAACGGGUGAGUAAUGUAUCGGAACGUACCAUUGAGUGGGGGAUAACGUAGCGAAAGUUACGCUAAUACCGCAUAUUCUCUCCGGAGGAAAGCAGGGGACCGCAAGGCCUUGCGCUCUUUGAGCGGCCGAUAUCAGAUUAGCUAGUUGGUGGGGUAAAAGCUCACCAAGGCGACGAUCUGUAGCGGGCCUGAGAGGAUGAUCCGCCACACUGGAACUGAGACACGGUCCAGACUCCUACGGGAGGCAGCAGUGGGGAAUUUUGGACAAUGGGGGCAACCCUGAUCCAGCCAUGCCGCGUGAGUGAAGCAGGCCUUCGGGUUGUAAAGCUCUUUCAGCCGGGAAGAAAGCGCACUCUCUAGUACAGGGUGUGGAUGACGGUACCGGAAUAAGAAGCACCGGCUAACUACGUGCCAGCCGCCGCAGUAA
rnacentral:rRNA from 1 species